UAUUAAAAUUUUUAUCCAUUUGUACUAGUAAAAACUGACAUGACUGAUAGAAUAACUCGACAAUAACACAUGGCGUACCAUGUAUACCUCAUGUUGACGUACAAAUACUAAAUUUUAACAACAGAAAUAGAUAAAAUUUUUAACA
rfam:Gossypium hirsutum cultivar TM-1 chromosome 19, whole genome shotgun sequence